AAAGAAUUAGUUAAGCCAUAUAACAUAAAUUUGUCAAAUUUAAAUUAUUAAUAAUCAAUCAUUAAUAUUCUUUA
rnacentral:tRNA from 1 species